rnacentral:lncRNA from 1 species
AUCACUUUCUAGCAAAUAAAAUUAGAACUAUUAAUGACACACUAUAACAGAAUUAGAUUAUAGGGACAUAUUUUUUGGACACUUUUGUGUAGAUGUCCUAUUUAUGCCAAAAUUUUUUUAAAAAUCUACUAAAACUUAAAUAUAAAGUCCAAUCCAAUCAAAAAUAAAAAGCUCCUCUACUCAACCAACCCUGUCCAGCGUAGUCGACCGGAUUACAAAUAGAAAAAGAAAAAAAAAGAAAUUGAUCACUAUCUCCCCUUCACCUCCUCUGCUGUCGCAGCCUACGAGGUAAGGUUCCGACGGCUGGAGUUCUGCCGCGAGAAUCUCGUAGGGACCGUAAAGAGCUACGAUCGCCACGUGUCCCUCCGUCACAGGUCGCUGGAGGAGUGUAUGCCAAACAUCAAGGCGAUCAUAUAAAUCGCAACCUCACAUAUAACAACACUUUUAAAAAUUGUCGAUAAUUUAGCCAGCAGUAUUUUUUUUCGAGCUGUACUGACAUUUAAAAGUGCCGCUAUAUACCUUUUUUUUGUAAUAACAAUUAAUCAAUAAUAGAGUCAUAAAUAUUAAUUAAUAAACAUUUUAACUUACCUA